AGCGAACGCUGGCGGCAGGCUUAACACAUGCAAGUCGAGCGCCGUAGCAAUACGGAGCGGCAGACGGGUGAGUAACGCGUGGGAACGUGCCUUUUGGUUCGGAACAACACAGGGAAACUUGUGCUAAUACCGGAUAAGCCCUUACGGGGAAAGAUUUAUCGCCAAAAGAUCGGCCCGCGUCUGAUUAGCUAGUUGGUGAGGUAACGGCUCACCAAGGCGACGAUCAGUAGCUGGCUGAGAGGAUGAUCAGCCACACUGGGACUGAGACACGGCCCAGACUCCUACGGGAGGCAGCAGUGGGGAAUAUUGGACAAUGGGCGCAAGCCUGAUCCAGCCAUGCCGCGUGAGUGAUGAAGGCCCUAGGGUUGUAAAGCUCUUUUGUGCGGGAAGAUAAUGACGGUA
rnacentral:rRNA from 1 species